rnacentral:misc_RNA from 1 species
UUUUUGUAAAAAAAAAAAGUUCAAGGUUUUUGUCACUUCUCUAGCAAUAUCUCCAUUAGGUAGGAUUUCAUUGGCCCAUGCACUUAUUUGUUGAGGCUUUUGAUCCAAUUUUGAAUUGUUGCUAUACACACAGAUCAAUCAUAAAAGAAACUUUUGAUUCAUUUCAAUUAAGCUUCCUUUCUAUUAAUCUUCAAGUUCUUGGAUAGAAGGAAAUGAUUUAGUUUCAGAGCCAAAGAUUGUAGUUCAAGAGUGAUUGAACGUAAACUUAGGGGCACUACAAAAGUAUCAUAAAACUAGUUUGCCUUUAUACUUGGUAGAUCUACAAUAGAGUCUAUCUUUCUGUUAAGAGUAUUAAUGGAAAUUUAUUGAGAGAUGAAGAAGGAUCUCCCACAUGAUAUUUAUUAACCUAGAAAAGGCAUAUGAUAAAG